GAUGAGUCGGUCUGUACUGUAAAGGCAAAAUGCGACAAUGCAAUGUUUGGAUGAGUCGGUCUGUACUGUAAAGGCAAAAUGCGACAAUGCAAUGUUUGGUUGAGCUGGUUUAUAAAGGCAAAAUGUGUCAAGGGACAAUGCAAUGUUUGGUUGAGUCGGUCUAUAAAGGCAAAAUGUGACAAUGCAAUGUUUGGUUGAGUCAGUUUGUAGAGACAUGUACCGGCGUCUGUGGUAUAGAGGUUAGGUGCUCCGCUGUCUCGCUCAGGAGACCCGAAUUCCAUUCUUAAGUACGGAGAAAUUUUUUAUCAAGUAUUUCGGUCUCUCCCCUGGGAUGUUGUAUCAUUCUCAGCCCACCGCCUAAGUUACCAUAACUGUGUCGUUAGGGGCGUAAAGACACCUAUGUACCUUUU